GCAAGUCGAGCGCGAACGGAACUUCGGUUCCUAGUAGAGCGGCACAAGGGUGAGUAAUGCGUGGACAAUCUACCCUCGAGACUGGAAUAACGGCGGGAAACCGCCGCUAAUGCCGGAUGGCCCUGCGAAGAGGCAUCUCUUUGUGGGUAAAGGUGGGGAUCCUUCGGGACCUGCUGCUCGGGGAGGAGUUCACGUCCUAUCAGCUUGUUGGUGAGGUAAUGGCUCACCAAGGCAUCGACGGGUAGGCGGGCUGAGAGGCCGAUC
rnacentral:rRNA from 1 species